UCAACAGCUGACUUCUGGGUCAGAGGUCAUGAGCUCUGAAGUUCCUCAGGUGUUGCCUGGAUAAAAAUGCCCUUUAACCUGCCUAUAAAAAACUAUACGGUUUUCAUUUUGAAGGGUAUUGGAUUUCAUGGUCUCUGCCUUCAACUAAAGGAAGGAUGAUGCCCACUCACCACUUUGGCAGCCAUUUUGUUCAAGUUAAGAGGCCCCUUAGUUACAUUCCCAGGAUUACAAUCAAAUACCGUGUAUCUAUAUAAGAAAAAGAAGACACUGCAACCCCAGUUUUUUGUUUUGACAUUCUAGGAAUAAGCUAGCAACGCAUCUACAGUUUUCGUGUGGCUUUCUGGGCCAUGAUUUAGUUGGGAAUAGGCACACCUGAGAUUUGAGUGCAGUGCCUAAGACCCUGGGCUUGGGCGUCAGGGAAACCAGGAGUAAAAUGUUGGCAAAUAUCCUUCCAAUUACUUUUCGUGCAAACCCACAGAGGCAAAAUGAAUUUAUUUUUUCUUUUUAUAAAAGUAGGACAAUAUAAUUUGUGUAGUAAUUUAUGUUUUUAACUUAAUUAAUAGAAAUGAAUAUAUCACUUAAUAGCAAUCUGUAGCUUACAAUGUCUACAUCAUAUUUUACUGUGUAUAUUUAACCAGCCCCCUACUGUUUAUUUAGGUUGCUUUCAAUUCUUUUUUUUUUUCUUUAAUUGGAGUACAGUUGACACACAAUGUUAUAUUUCAGGUGCACAACAUAGUGAUUCCACAAGUUUAUAUUAUGCUACGCUCACCACAAGUGUAACUACUAUCUGUGACCAUACAACACUGUUAUAAUACCACCGACUAUCAUCCUUACAUUGUACCUUUCAUUUCUGUGAGUUAUUCAUUCCAUGACUGCAAGCUCGUAUCUCCCAGUCCCCUUCAUUCAUUUUUCCCAUCCCCCCCCUCAGCCUCCCUUCAGGAAACCACCAGUUUGUUCUCUGUAUGUACGGGUCUGUCUGCUUUUUUGGUUUGUUUGUUUAUUUUGUUUUCUAGAUUCCACAUAUAAGUGAAAUCAUAUAGUAUUUGUUUUUAUCUGUGUGACUUAUUUCGGUUAGCGUAAUACCUCCCAGAUCCACCCAUUCUGUCCCAUAGUUAAUUGUUUGCUUUUAUGAAUACUGCUGCAAUUACUAAUCUCACUUCUGAUUAUUUCAUUAGUAUUAAAGACAGGAAUCUGGAAUUUUCCAAACUGUGUAUUUUAAAACGUUUUUCACAGUAACUUUCAGAAGUUAUCAACAAGGAAGAGAGAGCAAUAUUUUUGCACUGAUGGUAAUGACUUAGGAGAAAGAAAAACUGAUACUUGGCAGAGAGGGCAGAAUAGCCAGAGUAGUGUCAUUAAGGAGGUGAGAGCGUAUGGGAUCUUAGUGCCCAAAUGGGUGUUGGGGGGGAGGCGAUUUUAAAUAGAAGCAAGGAGAACUUAUCUCUAGUAGAGAGCAGGAAGAUAGAAUAUGUGGGAGAAGAUGCUGGAAGGUUGACAGUGGGGGUAGGAAAGAGAAGUUCCGAUUGCUUCGAGAAGUGAAAAACAAGGUCAUGAGUUAGAGUGAGGGGAGAGGAGAUGAUGAAGGUUUGAGAGAAGAAGAUGGUAAAAUAGAGUUGAUUCUCAUUAUUUGUGGAUUUAACAUUUACAAAUUCACCCAUUUGUUCAAAUUAACUUGUCACCCUUAAACAUGCAGUCUUAGUGUUUUCAUUUGCAGAUAUGUGCACACUCAGCGCUAUGAAAAAUUGUGGUCACCCGACAUGUAUGCUCCCAGCUGAGACUGACCAAGUUACACUGUGCUUUAUUGUUUUAGCCCUCGUGCUAUGAGAAAGUGACCUUUUCGUUGCCUAUUUAGAGCCAUACUUUUAGCACAAAAUGGUGCUUUCGCUGUCUAAAAUGCCUACCUCCAAGCAUAGUGCUGAAAUGCUGUCUAGUGUUCCUAAGAGCAAGGAGGCUGUGGUGUGCCUUAUGGAGAAAAUAUGACUAUUGGACAAUUCAGGCAUGAGUUAUAAUGCUAUUGUCUCUGAGUUAAAUGUUAAUGAAUCAAUAAUACAGAUUCAGUAAGAUGUCUUUAAAUGAAAACACACAAAGAACAAGAUUAUAUGUGAUCAGUUGAUGAAAAUGUGGCCAGAAGCUUGUAGCAACCUAAUUCUGUAUUUUUCCUAGGAGCACUGGUUCAGUAUGCAUUAGUUCACUGUUGCUGGUGACAUCAAAGAACGUCACUGUAGCAAAUAACAAGAAUUGACUGUAUUGGAGCACCUGGGUGGCUCAGUUGGUUAAGCGUCCAACUUCGGCUCAGGUCACGAUCUCGCAGUCUGUGUGCUCGAGCCCCAUAUCGGGCUCUGUGCUGACAGCUCAGAGCCUGGAGCCCGCUUCGGAUUCUGUGUCUCCCUCUCUCUCUGCCCCUCCCCUACUCAUGCUCUGUCUCUCUCUCUCUCUCAAGAAUAAAUACACUUUAAAAAAAUUUAAAAAAAGAAUUGACUGCAUUUGUCUCAAAGAAUAGGAGAGUGAAUGAAAUAGGGAAGUUGGGCAUCAUAAAACAAGAGUUCAUUUGACUUAAAAUUAGAAAUUUGAAGUAGGAUCAAUCAGCGUGAUUGUGUGUUUUCCUCCAGCCAUAUUAGCUGUACAAAGACAGGCAUGAAAUAUGCAAACAGCUGGUAUUAACUAAGAUUGUGAUUCUGCCAAAUGAAUAUGGUGAGUCCAGGCAGUAGUUGAGGGGUUGAGAAUAUAUGCAAGAGAGUAGUUAUGAUAGUGCUCCUUGUGGCUUAACGUGUGUGUGUGUGUGUGUGUGUGUGUGUGUGUGUGUGUAUUUUAUUUAUUUAUUUUCAGUAUAGAGGGAGUCGGGCAUUGUAUAGAUUUAUGUCUUUUUCAGUGUGGAAUUCAGGAUUUUAAGUUUUCUGAGGGCAGUUUGUCAGGAUUAGGAUCCAUGUUCCACCAAGUACUAGCAAGAUAAGCUUGUAAAUCUGGUGACUGUGUUGUGAUUUGUUCAACCUCAGUGAAACAACCACUGGUAGAGUCGUAUGGUAUUUGCCACACUCAGCAAAACUUUCUCCAGUGGAUCACAGCACUAUAUUCACCUAUUGGAGCUCUGAAAAACAAAACCUUCCCCAGUCAAGAAUUAGUAAAUGGGAAGACUGGAACAAUUUAUGUUAUCUAAAACCACCACAUUUUAAAGACUUGACCCUGAUAUUUAAUAUGCCCGUAUAAAAAAAACUAUUAGUGGUAAUGGUACACGCGUGUUGAUUAAAACUUGUUUUCCUCCAAACUCCAGAAUUCCAUGAUCUGUAAGAACAGAAAUUUCACAUAGCACAAACUUUUCUAGAGAAUAGAGAAGUGCGUAUUUCCCAACCCAUCUUUGAGGCCAGCACAACGGUGACACUGAAAUCAGACAAGGACUGUGUAACAAAGAAAAAUUAUAAGACAACAUCACUCAUUUAUCUGCAUAAAAAAUGCUAGGUGUUCAUGGGUGUCUCAGGCUGGUCCACCAGAUGGAUGUGCCUGAAAUCUUUGCUCUGAAGAGAUGUGCCACGGUGGUGGGAAAAGAAAUCCAAGCAAGCACCAGUGGAGUAUUCCAGGCUGUCAGAGGUCGCUGAGGUAGAAAGAAUGUACAUGAUGCCCUGUGCCUCUCUACAGUAGGAAACUAAUAGGACCAAGAGUUAACAUGCUCUGAGGACAGUGCCGUAUUCUGAGGGAGCGACUGUAUGUAUUAUCAAAUCUAGCUGAAUUGCAACAGACAUGAUGAUCUGUCUUUCAGUCAAAGAAACUAAGACCCAGAG